ACGCGACCCCAGGUCAAGCGGGGCUACCCGCUGAGUUUAAGCAUAUCAAUAAGCGGAGGAAA
rnacentral:rRNA from 1 species